rnacentral:lncRNA from 1 species
GAUUGGUUGGGGCGUGUGAUGUGUCCCCUGAAUGUUUGAGUGCUCCCUUGGUAAACGCGCGUACGUGUUUCUUUCUGAUCAGGACCAUUGAUUGUGUUUACUUUUAUUAAGUCACUUAAUCAUGUGGCCUUGGUUUACUCAUGUUUUAUUUAAUUGCUUAUUUAUUAUUUAUUUCUCUAAAGCAUGUUUACUACCACCAAAGGGAGGUUGGUCUAGUGGAAUGGGGGUUGACCACAUGACCCCAAGGUCAGGGGUUCAAC